UACGUAGGUGGCAAGCGUUGUCCGGAAUUAUUGGGCGUAAAGCGCGCGCAGGUGGUUUCUUAAGUCUGAUGUGAAAGCCCACGGCUCAACCGUGGAGGGUCAUUGGAAACUGGGGAACUUGAGUGCAGGAGAGAAGAGUGGAAUUCCACGUGUAGCGGUGAAAUGCGUAGAGAUGUGGAGGAACACCAGUGGCGAAGGCGGUGGUCUGGGCCGGUACUGACGCUGAGGAGCGAAAGCGUGGGGAGCGAACAGG
rnacentral:rRNA from 1 species